AUACGUAGGGGGCAAGCGUUAUCCGGAUUUACUGGGUGUAAAGGGAGCGUAGACGGUAAAGCAAGUCUGAAGUGAAAGCUCGGGGCUCAACCCCGGAACUGCUUUGGAAACUGUUUUACUGGAGUGCAGGAGAGGUAAGCGGAAUUCCUAGUGUAGCGGUGAAAUGCGUAGAUAUUAGGAGGAACACCAGAGGCGAAGGCGGCUUACUGGACUGUAACUGACGUUGAGGCUCGAAGGCGUGGGGAGCAAACAGGAUUAGAUACCCUGGUAGUCCACGCGGUAAACGAUGAUCACUAGGUGUCGGCGGCCAUAGGCGGUCGGUGCCGCAGCAAACGCAAUAAGUGAUCCACCUGGGGAGUACGUUCGCAAGAAUGAAACUUAAAGGAAUUGACGGGG
rnacentral:rRNA from 1 species